rnacentral:rRNA from 1 species
UACGUACGAGGCGAGCGUUAUCCGGAAUUACUGGGCGUAAAGCGCGCGUAGGCGGCGUGUUAAGUAGGGCGUGAAAUCUCCCGGCCUAACUGGGAGGGGUCGGCCUAGACUGGCAGGCUUGAGGCUGGCAGAGGUGGGUGGAAUUCCUGGUGUAGCGGUGAAAUGCGCAGAUAUCAGGAGGAACACCGAUGGCGAAGGCAGCUCGCUGGGACGGUACUGACGCUGAGGCGCGAAAGCGUGGGGAGCGAACAGG